UGCCCAUUUAUGAAUCAUGUUGACCCAUGUUAAGGGGAAACUAAGGGGCAAGGCAUAUCCUAGCCUUCUGGUGACCUACAUUUGGAGCUGGCUUUAGCUAAGCAGCGGCUGGCUGGUCCCUAGAGGGAGUUUUCAAUCCAUUCUCACUCUUCUGGGGUUACUUUGUAACAUUUGGAGAUUUAUUUACCCCUUUUAUUAGAAAUAUUUUAAUCAAGGUUACAAGGCACAGUUUCUAGAACAUAUUCCUGGCCCUGGCAUUCCAUGGUUGAUUCUUUAUAGACGGUGUAUUUUCUUUGUCCUGGGAAUAUUUAGGGUUUUGUUUGUACAGUGACUUACCUCAGAAAAUGAAUUUGAACCCAUGAUACUGGAUACAACUGGGAAAGUUGUGAACUUGAAACUGGGAAGGUUCCCAGAGUACUGCUUCGGGACCCUGCCUUUUAUUGUCUGCAGACCUUCCAAAUCCAUUGUGGUGUGGCAUGAGACCCUCCAAAUCCAGAUGUUAGACAUGGUGGUGUGGUGCGGCCCUGCUACGUCAUGAGUUCACUCUUUUCUCUCAAGUGUUUUCCUCCACAGUCUGAACAUUUAACCUGAUGUUUUUAUUUCUCUUGUUUUGAGGGACUUUUGCUUAUUCUCUAAAUUGAAUGAUUAUUUAUUUUGAGACAGGUCCUCCUGGCUUGGAACUCAUUCUGUAGACCAGGCUGACCUUGCCCCACAGAGAGUCCUCUGCCUCUGCCACCAACGUACUGGAGUUAAAAGUGCACCACCAUGACUGGCAGCCCCUUUGAACUUUGUUCUUUCAGAUUUACCUCAUCUAAUCCACGAAAGCCAAAGUAAACAAUGGGUUUACAUAAAAUAAACAAACAAACAAAACAACAGCAAAAGAAACUCCAAAGCUAAAACUCAGCCCAUGGACUUGGAAGAAUAUGUUUGCAAAUCCUAAGAAUAAUUGCCAAAAUAUAAGAAGAAUGCAAACUAGAGCUGGCUGUAUGGGUUAGUGGGUAAAGGUAUUUGCCACUGACCUAACAGCCCAAGUUUCCAACACCUAAGACCCAGAUGGUAGAAGGGACAACACACACACACACACACACACAAAACAAAACAACCCCCUGACUCCUGCACAUUGUCUUUCGACCUCCACAUGUACACUAGACAAGUACAAGCCUGCACACACACC
rnacentral:lncRNA from 1 species